rnacentral:rRNA from 1 species
AUCAGGUAGGGAUACCCGCUGAACUUAAGCAUAUCAAUAAGCGGAGGAAAAGAAACCAACAGGGAUUGCCCCAGUAACGGCGAGUGAAGCGGCAAGAGCUCAAAUUUGAAAGCUGGCUCCUUCGGGGUCCGCAUUGUAAUUUGCAGAGGAUGCUUCGGGAGCGGUCCCCAUCUAAGUGCCCUGGAACGGGACGUCAUAGAGGGUGAGAAUCCCGUAUGGGAUGGGGUGUCCGCGCCCGUGUGAAGCUCCUUCGACGAGUCGAGUUGUUUGGGAAUGCAGCUCUAAAUGGGAGGUAAAUUUCUUCUAAAGCUAAAUACUGGCCAGAGACCGAUAGCGCACAAGUAGAGUGAUCGAAAGAUGAAAAGCACUUUGGAAAGAGAGUUAACAGUACGUGAAAUUGUUGGAAGGGAAACGCUUGAAGUCAGACUUGCUAUUCGGGUUUACUCGAGUUGCAGGCCAGCAUCAGUUUUCCGGGGUGGAAAAUCACGGUUUGAAGGUAGCAGUUUCGGCUGUGUUAUAGCUUUCCGUUGGAUACAUCCUGGGGGACUGAGGAACGCAGUGUGCUUUUAGCAGGAGCUUCGGCUUCAUCACACUUAGGAUGCUGGUGGAAUGGCUUUAAACGACCCGUCUUGAAACACGGACCA